CCAAACGACUCUCGGCAACGGAUAUCUCGGCUCUCACAUCGAUGAAGAACGUAGCAAAAUGCGAUACUUGGUGUGAAUUGCAGAAUCCCGUGAACAAUCGAGUUUUUGAACGCAAGUUGCGCCCGAAGCCGUCAGGCCAAGGGCACGUCUGCCUGGGCGUCACGC
rnacentral:rRNA from 1 species